rnacentral:rRNA from 1 species
UACGGAGGGUGCGAGCGUUAAUCGGAAUUACUGGGCGUAAAGGGUGCGUAGGUGGUUGAUUAAGUUAUCUGUGAAAUUCCUGGGCUCAACCUAGGGCGGUCAGAUAAGACUGAUGAACUGGAGUAUAGGAGAGGGUAGUGGAAUUUCCGGUGUAGCGGUGAAAUGCGUAGAGAUCGGAAGGAACACCAGUGGCGAAGGCGGCUACCUGGCCUAAUACUGACACUGAGGCACGAAAGCGUGGGGAGCAAACAGG